AUCCAGGUGACAAGUCCCAAACAGGACAAAAUGCGAGUCCUGGAU
rfam:Trichobilharzia regenti genome assembly, scaffold: TRE_scaffold0020821